UGGGGAAUUGUUCACAAUGGGCGCAAGCCUGAUGACGCAACGCCGCGUGGGGGAUGAAGGUCUUCGGAUCGUAAACCCCUGUCGAAUGGGACGAAAGACUCGCGAGUGAAUACUUCGCGAGAGUGACGGUACCGUUAAAGGAAGCCACGGCUAACUCUGUGCCAGCAGCCGCGGUAAUACAGAGGUGGCAAGCGUUGUUCGGAAUUACUGGGCGUAAAGGGCGCGUAGGCGGCCUUCUAAGUCGGACGUGAAAGCCCCAGGCUUAACCUGGGAACUGCGUCCGAUACUGGAAGGCUUGGAUUCGGGAGAGGGAUGUGGAAUUCCAGGUGUAGCGGUGAAAUGCGUAGAUAUCUGGAGGAACACCGGUGGCGAAGGCGGCAUCCUGGACCGAGAUCGACGCUGAGGCGCGAAAGCUAGGGGAGCAAACGGGAUUAGAUACCCCCGUAGUCCCUGAGCGGGCUGGCAAGGCGCAU
rnacentral:rRNA from 1 species